CAUUACCGAGUUUACAACUCCCAAACCCAAUGUGAACCAUACCAAACUGUUGCCUCGGCGGGGUCACGCCCCGGGUGCGUCGCAGCCCCGGAACCAGGCGCCCGCCGGAGGGACCAACCAAACUCUUUCUGUAGUCCCCUCGCGGACGUUAUUUCUCACAGCUCUGAGCAAAAAUUCAAAAUGAAUCAAAACUUUCAACAACGGAUCUCUUGGUUCUGGCAUCGAUGAAGAACGCAGCGAAAUGCGAUAAGUAAUGUGAAUUGCAGAAUUCAGUGAAUCAUCGAAUCUUUGAACGCACAUUGCGCCCGCCAGUAUUCUGGCGGGCAUGCCUGUCCGAGCGUCAUUUCAACCCUCGAACCCCUCCGGGGGGUCGGCGUUGGGGAUCGGGAACCCCUAAGACGGGAUCCCGGCCCCGAAAUACAGUGGCGGUCUCGCCGCAGCCUCUCCUGCGCAGUAGUUUGCACAACUCGCACCGGGAGCGCGGCGCGUCCACGUCCGUAAAACACCCAACUUCUGAAAUGUUGACCUCGGAUCAGGUAGGAAUACCCG
rnacentral:misc_RNA from 1 species